UACGUAGGGGGCAAGCGUUGUCCGGAUUUACUGGGCGUAAAGAGCGCGCAGGCGGUCGAUCAAGUCGCGUGUGAAAGCCCCCGGCUCAACUGGGGAGGGUCACGCGAUACUGAUCGACUCGAAGGCAGGAGAGGGUAGUGGAAUUCCCGGUGUAGUGGUGAAAUGCGUAGAUAUCGGGAGGAACACCAGUGGCGAAGGCGGCUUUCUGGUCUGCUCUUGACGCUGAGGCGCGAAAGCUAGGGUAGCAAACGGG
rnacentral:rRNA from 1 species